rnacentral:rRNA from 1 species
AGCGAACGCUGGCGGCAGGCUUAACACAUGCGAGUCGAGCGGGCAUCUUCGGAUGUCAGCGGCAGACGGGUGAGUAACACGUGGGAACGUACCCUUCGGUUCGGAACAACUCUGGGAAACUGGAGCUAAUACCGGAUACGCCCUUAUGGGGAAAGGUUUACUGCCGAAGGAUCGGCCCGCGUCUGAUUAGCUAGUUGGUGGGGUAACGGCCUACCAAGGCGACGAUCAGUAGCUGGUCUGAGAGGAUGAUCAGCCACACUGGGACUGAGACACGGCCCAGACUCCUACGGGAGGCAGCAGUGGGGAAUAUUGGACAAUGGGCGCAAGCCUGAUCCAGCCAUGCCGCGUGAGUGAUGAAGGCCUUAGGGUUGUAAAGCUCUUUUGUCCGGGACGAUAAUGACGGUACCGGAAGAAUAAGCCCCGGCUAACUUCGUG